UGGGGCGCCCCGGGGCCCAGCACCGGGAAGACCCUCCCCGGCAAGAGGCGCUCCCCACCCCCACCGCCCCCGCCCCGCGCAGGAUUGGGGGGCCGGGCUCACCUCGGGCGCGGGGCUAAGCUGAUAAUGACUUACAGUCACACUCCAAAACAGUUCCAAAAACGCACUCUUCUAGAGCAAGAAACUUCAUUUAACUUUAUCAAAACAAACGCCUCUCAAGCCUUACUACAAAACAAAGAAAUCAUGAGCCAGUGGGACCAGAUCGCUCCUUACCGUUUUAAAAUUGAAAAGAGAAUUUCGUUAGCCGAUCUCUCUGCGGAGUUUUGUGUGACGUUUGAGCGAGUAUUUACAAAGAACCUUAACUCCUGGAGACGUGCCAGCAGGCUGGGAAAUCGCUGCAGAAUUCUGCCCGUGACUGACUGCUUGGUUGCAAAUACAUUUUGUGUUUUCAAAAGGACGAGGAGGGAUCUGAAUUCGCCGCGAGGGCUUCUGCGAGAGGCAUUCUUCCCCUCGAAUGUGCAGCCUCCUGCCUCGGAUUGAUUUGGAAAGCAUGGGGAGAGGGGGCGAUUAAAAAUGGAAAUUCCAAAAGUAACAGGAGAACACCGAGGAACAUUUGGUUUCGAAAGAAGAGCUAAGAAGAACUCGCAUUCUUGCACCCAGUGAAAACUGAAAAAUCGAACGUUAGUCCAGCCCUGGCUCCGCCCACACGUACGCCUGGCUCCGCGGGCUCCCUGGCCCGAGAUGUCUAAAGGAAUCAGGUGCUCCAGACGCCAGCCUCAAAAACAAAGGGAGGACAGCCGCAGCAGCGUCCCUCCAGGGUGAGCCCGGGCUCUGCACCGCACCGGGAGGCAGCUCCACCCACCUCCUCCCGCGCCAUCAACAGCAGCUCCACCUCACUUUUCACAACUGCCGAAAAGGCCUUCCUUAAUAAGUAUUUCCCAGUGCACACCUAUGAAAAUCACACUAUCUCUGCUUAGCACUAUACCAGACCUCUUCAGCUAACAUCCGAUUUCCUACCCAGGGCCUGCCCAUCCCACCAUUCUCAGAUCAAAUAGCAAAAAAAAAGAAAGAAAACAACCUCUUUGGAUUCGCUGUAUUUAAAUAUGUAUUGGAAUCAUCUUUGGAGACUUAGCCUUAAUUAGAAGAACAGAAUGUGGUAUGAUCUCCUUUCCCAAGUAUUUACUUAUUUCACUGUGGAACUAUUAUAUAAAAACAAUUUGGAAACUAAAUCGCCUGAGCUGAAACACAGCCAGUAGAGAUACUUGAGGUAAAAGAAUUCAGUGCUUAAGAGCAGGAAAACGGCAGAGAGGCGUCAGCAGGAAAAGAAAAUGAGAAAGUCAGGCAGACCUGCCAGUCUGCAAACUACAAAAAGACAUCUGAGAAGGAGGAGGGCGGCCCUUCCACACACUGAGUGCACUAAAUGAAGCAGGCAGAGCAAACAACCCCAAGGAACAGGCUUCUUCCUUCCGGCUGAGCUCUGCAUCCCCAGCCAUCGCAGCGUUCCGCUCCUGGGAGAUACUAUGCUAAUACACGGUAAAAACAGCACGACUUACCUUUCAGCGGGGAAGGCCGCGCCUGGGACCCGGAAACCCUACCGCCCGCUGGCCCACCUGGCUGGGAACAGUGGCGGAGGAGAUUUGAUUGCUGGGUUUUACAAGCAAACCAAAAAAGGGAGGGGCCAAUCAUAAAGCUCAAUUUAAACAGGUUUAGAUCUAAUCCGGACUUUAUUGAAUAAACCAACCUUGAUAAACUAAGAAAAAGAAA